rnacentral:rRNA from 1 species
UGCUCAGGAUGAACGCUGGCGGCGUGCUUAACACAUGCAAGUCGAACGGUGAAGCCCAGCUUGCUGGGUGGAUCAGUGGCGAACGGGUGAGUAACACGUGAGCAAUCUGCCCCUGACUCUGGGAUAAGCGCUGGAAACGGCGUCUAAUACUGGAUACGAGCCGUGAAGGCAUCUUCAACGGUUGGAAAGAUUUUUCGGUCAGGGAUGAGCUCGCGGCCUAUCAGCUUGUUGGUGAGGUAAUGGCUCACCAAGGCGUCGACGGGUAGCCGGCCUGAGAGGGUGACCGGCCACACUGGGACUGAGACACGGCCCAGACUCCUACGGGAGGCAGCAGUGGGGAAUAUUGCACAAUGGGCGCAAGCCUGAUGCAGCAACGCCGCGUGAGGGAUGACGGCCUUCGGGUUGUAAACCUCUUUUAGCAGGGAAGAAGCGAAAGUGACGUAC